AUCUGAUCGCAACUUUUUAUUUUUAUAUUUUUUAAUUAAAAAAUUGCAGAUAUAUGUGCGAUUUUGAAAAAAAAUCAUGACAAUUUUGAUAGCGUUUUGAUUUUUAAGCAUUGGAACAUAAUAUUUUUUAGAUUUUAAACUUAUCACCCAUAUAUUUAUAUUUUUUAUUUAAAAAAUAUAAAAGUUCACCUGGCUGCGCUGCCAAAUUUGCAAUCCUCCUUGCAUGAAAAAAAAUAAAAAGAAGAGGAUUCCACCAGAAGAUCUUGGGUUACAGUUAAAAUUACUGUGAUAAAAGUUCGGAGACCUGUUCCCCUCUCUACAGUAGCAAAAGGUAACCCAGAGGUGAUUCUUGUUUUCCGGCGUCGAUCUCCCCUGCCUCUCUUCUCCGACAGCCUCCCCGGCGCCAGUGAAGGAGAGGUUCGGCUGGAUUGACGUCGGUAGCUUAUAGCUUAGUUAGAGGUGUUAGGUUUGUAGAUUUGGCUAGAUAAGUAGGGCUCUGAUGGUGUUGUUGGCAGCGGUUUUAUGCAAGAUUUGUUUCUCCUUGUUGUAUCUGGUGCGGUUGCUGUAGUCGAUGACGUCUCCAACAACACUUGUGAGAGGUCAUCGGUCUAUGUGUCGGUAAUUGCCGAGGUUGGUGUUGCCGGGUCGUCAGUCUAGGUGUCGGCGGCCACAGAGAUGGUUCUUGCCUUCUUUGUUUUUCGUCCAUCUGUGGUGGUGGCAUGUGCGGCAGAAGGCGUCACAGAGGAGGAAGAUCACAAUUGUUUCAUUUGUUUCUAUCGGCUGGGGGAUGACCGAUGGGUGUUCAUCUGCAUAGAUGUGUCUUGGGUAUUUCCAAAGCACCGAAUGUUACGAUUUUACCAA